AUACGGAGGGGGCUAGCGUUGUUCGGAAUUACUGGGCGUAAAGCGCACGUAGGCGGAUUAAAAAGUUAGAGGUGAAAUCCCAGGGCUUAACCCUGGAACUACCUUUAAAACUAGUAGUCUAGAGUUCGAGAGAGGUGAGUGGAAUUCCAAGUGUAGAGGUGAAAUUCGUAGAUAUUUGGAGGAACACCAGUGGCGAAGGCGGCUCACUGGCUCGAUACUGACGCUGAGGUGCGAAAGCGUGGGGAGCAAACAGGAUUAGAUACCCGGGUAGUCC
rnacentral:rRNA from 1 species